rnacentral:rRNA from 1 species
AUUGAACGCUGGCGGCAUGCCUUACACAUGCAAGUCGAACGGUAACGGGCCUUCGGGUGCCGACGAGUGGCGAACGGGUGAGUAAUGCAUCGGAACGUACCAUUGAGUGGGGGAUAACGUAGCGAAAGUUACGCUAAUACCGCAUAUUCUGUGAGCAGGAAAGCAGGGGAUCGCAAGACCUUGCGCUCUUUGAGCGGCCGAUGUCGGAUUAGCUAGUUGGUGGGGUAAAGGCCCACCAAGGCUACGAUCCGUAGCGGGUCUGAGAGGAUGAUCCGCCACACUGGGACUGAGACACGGCCCAGACUCCUACGGGAGGCAGCAGUGGGGAAUUUUGGACAAUGGGGGCAACCCUGACCAGCCAUGCCGCGUGAGUGGGGAAGGCCUUCGGGUUGUAAAGCUCUUUCGGCCGGGAAGAAAUCGUGUGGGCUAAUACCCUGCAUGGAUGACGGUACCGGAAUAAGAAGCACCGGCUAACUACGUGCCAGCCGCCGCCGUAA